rnacentral:lncRNA from 1 species
AGGCUCCACGUGCGCGGGGUGGGCGUCGGGCACGAUGCUGCUGCGACCGUGUUGGCACGUGAGCGGUCUCAGAUUCGCAUCCAGCGCUGGUCUCCCUGCCUCACCGCAGCCAAUCGUCAGUGGGUGCUUCCCUUCACUCUUGCUCGGAUGACAUUUCUCGUGUCCCGUUGCAGCACGCUAGUUGCCUGUGUGGCCUACCCCCUCGAUUCGGUGGGGGGGGGAGGGGACUCGUCGACGUCCCAUGUGCCCCUUCUGACUCCCCCGCCUUCAUUGUGGUGGUGCGGGGCGGACCUCGUGCGGUCCUCGAGUGCCCUUGGUGGGGGCCCUAUUGUGGCCUCCCGUUCCAUCGGGCCGCUCUUGUCACCUCGAUCUCUCGUGGAUUCGGUGGAUGCGUCGGGGCUGGGGCCCCUCUGCCACGUGUCCCAUCUCCAGAUCGAUUGGUUAUUGUUGCCCGGCCCGAUGUGACGACGUCCGGCCCGCCCCAGGCCUCUCCCUCUCCGGAGGGGGAUAUGGUGGGGGGCAGGGAUUCGG